CUUUUGCUACCUAAGUAUGAUAAAAAGAGCCUAAUAAACAUGUACGAAACUUUAAAUGUCAGCCAUGUUAAUUCAUAAUUGAGAAAGUAAUCAAAGAUGGCGCCAGUUACAGUUUCGAAUUUCCUUACGGUUUUAUUUCUGGGAGUAAUUUUAACGUGUUCGUUCUAUUUCUCGUCAAGUCUUCAGGGAGACGCAUCAUGGCUCACUAGUCGUCGUCAGUAAAGUAACUUAAUGGAUUGCCAGGAUUUUCAAUGCGGGAACCACGUGGCUGAGGUUAAACCUGCAGAUAUGAUUCACUUUUUCUAAAAAAUGAUGAUGUUUCGUUGACUAAAAUUUUGGAGCUAAGACUCAAUCUAAUGGAGGCCGGAUGAAGAACUGAAUUGAAUUAAUUCUUAGAAAUUGCUGGACUCCAUUUUGCAGCUUGCAGAGAGGAACCAUGCUAUCAGGGCCAGAAAUUUGAAAAAUGGAAUCUAUAAUCUAAAAUGCUGAUUACUUCUUAACUUAUAAUUUCCAGCUUGGACCAAAUAUGAGUUUGCUGGAAAGUGAAUAAAUCGUUCUAAUGGAAGAAUUGCACUUUAACUGAAGAAAGCUACGAUGGAAAAUGAAGAAAUUGUUUAAAUUGGAGCUAAAAAUUCUACGAAGGAAUCUUGCAUUAACAACAUAUAACUGAUUCCAAUUCACAAUUUAUUAAAUAGCAACACCAAUCUUAUGAACAGUGUUCCAAUUUUACAAAACACUUUUGUGAGUCUGGAUUCAUAAAUACAACAAUCGACGUGAUGUUUCCCUCUUGGUUGGAUAAAAAAUUCAUUUUAAAAAAUUAAUAAACAAACAAGUUGUAGAAUACUAUAAAAUAAAUAUGAGAAGAAAACAAAUGAAUU